rnacentral:rRNA from 1 species
GCUCCAAUAGCGUAUAUUAAAGUUGUUGCGGUUAAAAAAGCUCGUAGUUGGACUUCUGCAGGGGACGACCGGUCUACCACUGGGUUAGCAUCUGGCUCGGCUUUUUGCAUUUUUUUCAGGCACAGGCUGCUGCACUUGAUUGUGUGGUGCUUACGUCUGAACCUUUACCUUGAAUAAAACAGAGUGUUCAAAGCAGGCUU